rnacentral:piRNA from 1 species
UGGGCGUGUUGGAAACCUUGGUA